UACAGAGGGGGCAAGCGUUGUUCGGAAUUACUGGGCGUAAAGGGCGCGUAGGCGGCCUGCUAAGUCGAACGUGAAAUCCCCGGGCUCAACCCGGGAACUGCGUCCGAUACUGGCAGGCUUGAAUUCGGGAGAGGGAUGCGGAAUUCCAGGUGUAGCGGUGAAAUGCGUAGAUAUCAGGAGGAACACCGGUGGCGAAGGCGGGUCUCUGGGCAGUAACUGACGCUGAGGAGCGAAAGCGUGGGGAGCGAACAGG
rnacentral:rRNA from 1 species